rnacentral:tRNA from 1 species
GUCCUAGUGGUCCAGUGGGUAGGACUUGGCGUUUUCACUGCUGUGGCCUGGGUUCAGUCCCUAGUUAGGGAA